AUUCGUAAACUGGAUAUAAAAUGCCUGACUCAUGGGAUUGUGGUCAAGACCAAAUGCACUUAGACAAUGUCGUUCACAUGGUAAAUAUUUCAUCACUGCUAGCUUUAAUUCCGUCACCACUGCCUACUUCACUCUCUGAUGACACAUGCAGGUUCAUCACAUGGAUGGAGACAGCAGGCAUUUAGGGUGUUUCUAGUCUUGUUAUCACAAACACUACUGCAAUAAUUAUCCUCCUAAGCACGUCUCUACACACAGGUGGAAUUCAU
rnacentral:lncRNA from 1 species